rnacentral:misc_RNA from 1 species
GAUGAAGAACGCAGCGAAAUGCGAUAAGUAAUGUGAAUUGCAGAAUUCAGUGAAUCAUCGAAUCUUUGAACGCACAUUGCGCCCGUCAGUAUUCUGGCGGGCAUGCCUGUUCGAGCGUCAUUACGCCCCUCAAGUCCCCUGUGGACUUGGUGUUGGGGAUCGGCGAGGCUGGUUUUCCAGCACAGCCAUCCCUUAAAUUAAUUGGCGGUCUCGCCGUGGCCCUCCUCUGCGCAGUAGUAAAACACUCGCAACAGGAGCCCGGCGCGGUCCACUGCCGUAAAACCCCCCAACUUUUUAUAGUUGACCUCGAAUCAGGUAGGACUACCCGCUGAACUUAAGCAUAUCAAUAAGCGGAGGA